AAGGGAUCAGUGUGUUCGCUGACGUUCUGUGUUCUGAGCAGCGCGUUCUGAGUUCCAGCAUCAGGAGCCUCCAUGACCAGCCUGACCUGAGCACCUACAGGCAGCACCAGCAUGGGUACUACAAGAGGGCAUACACACUACUCAGACUAUGAUGAAAUUAAUGGCCUGAUUCUUCACCCUUGUUGGUAUCCACCAUCUCAGCCAUGCAACUUUGCACUGCUCUACUACUCAGCAGCAGGUCAAGUGCUGACCCAGCACCCCUUUGCACCAGUCUUUCAAACCCUGGCCACACUAACUAAUCAACCUGAUUGCUGUUUAUGCCAAGAUCUAGACCAUGCAAAGCAACCUGAAUUCAUUUUCAUCCCUGCUGAUGUCAGUGCCUGGUGGAACCAAUCUGGAAAAAGCAUGAAUGAUAAUAUGUGGUAUCCACAGCCAGAGAAGAAGCAACAUACGACUUCACCUGCUGGUGAGACAACUGGUCUGUAAAAACUGUGGAGAUAUCUUUUGC